rnacentral:rRNA from 1 species
CGGGCAACCUGCCCCUCUCUCUGGGAUAACCCCGGGAUACCGGAGCUAAUACCGGAUACUCCGGCUGGAUCGCAUGGUCCGGCCGGGAAAGGUCAGCCGGAGAGGGAUGGGCCCGCGGCCUAUCAGCUUGUUGGUGGGGUCAUGGCUCACCAAGGCGACGACGGGUAGCUGGUCUGAGAGGACGACCAGCCACACUGGAACUGAGAUACGGUCCAGACUCCUACGGGAGCA